GUCACAUGUAGUACCUACUAACGCCAACAAUUUAUAUAAAACGAGUGGAGUACUCCAAGGCUCCAUAAGUCGUCCAAUUUAAUAGAAGAAAAUCGUUAGUGAUUAAGAGUGUACCAACAUUUAAUGCUGUAAUGAAGUCUUUUAAUGCAGUCUCCUGAGUGUUCUAAGGUUAAGUACACAAAACUUGACAACACAAUCAAGAAGUCCAAUUCCUGAUCUGACCCUCCAAUAUAAUAUAAUAGUGAGGAUUCAUCAUUCUCUGGGACUAAGUAAAAGGGAAAACAAUGUUUGGUUAUGUGCACUAUGGCGAAGACGCGUUCGAUUCGAUUGAACUGGUUUCGGGCGAACGACACCGAACGAACGAUGACGAACACUGCACGAAGUUUGUUGACGGUCGUGUGAUCGUGUUCGAAGGGGAACUAGCACAGGACCGGACCCAGGAAAGUCAGACCAUUACCGCUGUUACGCAGUCUCAUUCAGGUCUAUUACUUAUAGAGGAUGAAGUGGCCAAGAAAAAACACGAAUCUGUUUAUGAAAGAUACCGGCUUUAAUUUAAAUUAAGUAUCGUUGAUCCAAUAGUGGAUAUCACAGUGUUGUAUCUUACAGAAACCUAACCUAACGUAAUGAUAGAAACAUAAAAAAUUACACAACCCUUACAUAAAUGGCACUUACACAACACAUAAAACGAACAUUGCAAAACUCAUUUGGGUAACUACAACUUAACUGACUAGUACAAAUUCAUAAAUAGGAAGAUAAUCUACAUUUAUAGGUAACAUAAAUAGAUUUCUGCACUGGCUAUUGAUUGUUUCUUACUCACAAACUAAUCGACUCCCAUAAAAAUAACUCAGUUUGGAUCAUCAAAAUUUUGGCAUUUCUUGUAAAUACGUAUAUAAUUCUCUUGUACAAAAUAACAACUUUUCAAAUACGGCGUUUCCAUUUGAUUUAAAUGCUGUUUGAAUUUGGAUCAUAGCCUA